CAUUACCGAGUCUACAACUCCCAAACCCCUGUGAACAUACCAUAUUGUUGCCUCGGCGGUGCCUGUUUCGGCAGCCCGCCAGAGGACCCAAACCCUAGAUUACAUUAAAGUAUCUUCUGAGUCAAUGAUUAAAUCAAUCAAAACUUUCAACAACGGAUCUCUUGGUUCUGGCAUCGAUGAAGAACGCAGCGAAAUGCGAUAAGUAAUGUGAAUUGCAGAAUUCAGUGAAUCAUCGAAUCUUUGAACGCACAUUGCGCCCGCCAGUAUUCUGGCGGGCAUGCCUGUCCGAGCGUCAUUUCAACCCUCAAGCCCCCGGGCUUGGUGUUGGAGAUCGGCGAGCCCUCCGGGGCGCGCCGUCUCCCAAAUAUAGUGGCGGUCCCGCUGUAGCUUCCUCUGCGUAGUAGCACACCUCGCACUGGGAAACAGCGUGGCCACGCCGUAAAACCCCCCACUUCUGAAAGGUUGACCUCGGAUCAGGUAGGAAUACCC
rnacentral:rRNA from 1 species